CCAAUAGCGUAUAUUAAAGUUGUUGCAGUUAAAAAGCUCGUAGUUGAAUUUCGAGAUCAAUAUGUUGGUCGUGCCUCGGUACGUACUUGCAUCAUUGAUUUCUCCCUUCUGAUGAACCAUGAUGCCAUUAAUUUGGUGUUGUGGGGAAUCAGGACUGUUACUUUGAAAAAAUUAGAGUGUUUAAAGCAGGCUCACGCUUGAAUACAUUAGCAUGGAAUAAUGAAAUAGGACGUUUGAUUCUAUUUUGUUGGUUUCUAGGAUCGACGUAAUGAUUAAUAGGGAUAGUUGGGGGCAUUAGUAUUCAAUUGUCAGAGGUGAAAUUCUUGGAUUUAUUGAAGACUAACUACUGCGAAAGCAUUUGCCAAGGAUGUUUUCAUUAAUCAAGAACGAAAGUUAGGGGAUCGAAGACGAUCAGAUACCGUCGUAGUCUUAACCAUAAACUAUGCCGACUAGGGAUCGGAUGAUGUUAAUUUUUUAAUGACUCA
rnacentral:rRNA from 1 species